GGGUCAGCUGUGAAGCCGUACCUUAUUGCCCAACGAUGUUGCAGACAUCAUUGCUUCUCUGGAAAUGUCUUUCACAAGAGUGACUUUGGUUUGGGAUAUUCAACCAUGACAUGUGAGUGUAAUGUUCGCCUCAUAAAGCCAUAAAUCAUUUGAAUACCAUUACAAAACUGGCUGGUGGAGCUAGACUACUCUGUGUAUAUCACUCUUGACUGACUGCAGACCCCGCUGCCAUGCUGACUGACAGUCGGGGUGCCGGAGACGCUGCUAUCUCUCGCCUUGCCGCUGCCUGAUCCUGGGGAGCAUCCCUGACCACCUCACCCACCAGUUUCAGCUGCUUGAAGACUCCAGUGUUUGCUGACGAGGCUGCGGGGGCCUGUUACUCCCACACCGGGGGGUCAGCUAAUCCACUCGCUGCCCCGUGGAGUGUGAGUGAUGGUGGCCCAGCACGGGCAGGCUUGAGUGAGCAGCAGAUAGAUAUGAAACAAACCCCCGGAGAGCGGACCGGGGCGACCACGAUCAGGAAAAUGUCUGCUACCCCGCUUCGAGCCUCUGCUGUGAUCACUGAGAAGGGUCAGUGACAUCCAUCUGUCGGAGGACUGAGCGUGCCGCAGGGGGGAGGAAGGUGUAUGGCUCCCCACCCCCUCAGGCUUCGCCCUUGGCACUGGCUCUGAAGUUAUGACCCGACAGACAGAAAUAAAUGCACUCCACACACAUCUAACGUGGAGUGAAGUUCCUCACAGGGCUUGCACAUGCAGAGCUCAGAGCACAUCACAAGGUGGCAGUACACCCAGCGACUAAACACUACUGGUCUCUGCUGUCAUGAAGGGCCUUGUAUUUGUGGACAGCAACACAGUCUGUUUUGGUUUUAGACACCAUUUUUCCUCAUCCUGCCGCUCCAAAACGACCGCACCAGUUUAAAUUUACGACUGCAUGCAGAACAUGACGAGCUGUGAUCCCACGGGUCCUCUGCUAACUGAGCAAAAACGUACCCCUGGACCCAGAGUUCAGAAGUCUGGCUGAAUUUAUUGUCUCAGUUUAUGGUCGGGCUGAGCAAAGUGCAAUCUGGUUGUCUGGACAAACUCUUCGAGGACCAGAGAAGAAGGGAGGGACGUGACAAAGGGGGCCUGGAUUUGUACAUUGCUGCAUUUUGGGAUCACUUUUUUUUUUUUUUUUUGUAAACGAAUUUAACACAGUAAAUUGUUGACAGACAUGAGCAGUUUUAUUUUUAACCACUGGCACAAUAAAGAUAAAAUGUCUUCAUGUUUGUCAGUUUAUAGUUGUUUUUUAAAGAAAUUAAUUAAAGUCAUUCGAAUGGCGCAAUAUGA
ensembl:lncRNA